GGUGCAAUAAAAGCCAAAAAGGGGAAUCCACCUAUAAUGCUAGCAGUCCAAGAGGGCUUUUGGACCUUUCAACAGUGUUAUUCAGGAAUCGUAUUAUAUUCAUUGGGCAACCAGUCAAUUCACAGGUUGCUCAAAGAGUUAUAUCACAGCUUGUGACUUUGGCAGCUAUCGAUGAGGAUGCAUAUAUUCUGGUAUUAUCAUAUUUUUACUAAUUGUCUCAACUUCUCUAUUUUUUUCUUUUGGUGCAUAGAGCUUUAAAUCCAUAAUUUUGGAACCUGUUCACAUUUUACAACUUUAACGUGUACCUUGUCAAGUGUAUUUGAACUGCCCUGAUGGAAGUAGCGAUUCUGUCUUGUUAAUUUAUGAUUGCAUGUUUUGGGUGAGAUUUUAAACUCUGUUGGGCCCAUUCUUUUGUAUUUUUUUCCUUGUUACUGCAUGCUAUGACAUUUUAAUACAUAUUCUGAUGAAAACAAUGCUGCAUGCUUUAUUUGAACUUCUUAUUUUACUAGCAUGAAUUGGUCAUUAUUUCAAAUAAAGCCAAAGGUUGGCAUAGUUUCUUUUGGAGUAGUUGCAAGCCAAUGAGCACUUCUUCUUGCUGGUGGAGAGAAGGGGAUGCCUUAUGCAAUGCCAAAUGCAUGCAUUAUGAUACACCAACCACAAAGUGGAUUUGAGGGUCAUGUUGAAGAUGUCAGACGUCAAGUGAAUGAAGCAGUUUAAUCUCACCAUAAUUUUGACAAAAUGUAUGCGGCUUUCACUGGCUAACCUUUGGAAAGAGUGCAAUAAUACACAGAAAGGAAUCACUUCUUAUUUAUUUCUGAGGUAAUGUUGCUUUUUGAUUUUGUUAAAAACGAGGUAAUGGUUCUCAGCAUCAAUGUUUGCUGAAAACAUCUUGCCUAACGCGUAUCCCUCUUCUCUUUCUUCUUGCUUACCUAUAGGUAGGAGGUAAGGAGAGUGACAAUAGAGUUUAAAUUGAUUUUCCCUUUUAAGGGCCUAUAGAGUGAUAUCUUUGUGUUUUAAAUGUCACGGCAUUAAACGGUUUCAACAUAUUGAAAGAAAAGACUAACAGGUUUUCUAUCUUCCUAUUGGUUCUUUAAUUCUCUCACAAGGCUACGGAGUUUGGGCUCAUUGAUGGUGUAUUGGAAACAGAAUAUUAAACUCAUAUUGAACUUUACAAAGUCCUUUGCUGCUAAGCUUUACGUCAUUACGAACCUUGAUGUACUAUAGCUUAAUUUCAUAGUUAUUGGUAGUUGUAAUUAUGUUUUGAAUUGGUGUUUGUAAAUUUACACGCAAAUUAUUUGAAAUUAUGAUGUAGUCAUUUAAAGGUUGAUAGCUUUAGAAUGAUGUUCACUGUAAUACUUUGAA